UGGAAACUGUGCACAAUGCACUUGGAGCAGAAACUGGGAUUCACUGGCUCACUUGGGGGAUGCUGUACCUCUGUCCUUCUUGCUUCCCAUAUGGCUCAUUGACUGGCAUGAACUCACCAGCCAUUGUUUCUUGUGUAGAAGGUAUUUCUGUGUCUCAGAAGCAACAGCGGUCAUUUGAAAGAGAACCUUUAACGAUAAGGGCUAGUACAUUACAGAACCAUCAGAGCUGGAUUUACUGGAAACUAGACAAAAUAUUUAACUCAGCAGGACGCUGAAUCACAGUGAACGCAAAGCAACAGCAAGUGUGUUACAUGGAAUCUAACAUGUUCUGUGAGGCACAAGACCCUGACAACUGAAAGAAGAGGUUUGGAGAGUCUCAGACGAAGCUGAGGGACUGUUGUAAUAUCACACUGGAAGCUGUUUGUGGGUUCAGUCAGCUCUCUGUUACUAUAGUGGAGUACCUUAUAUAGUCAGCUUACAGAAAGAGAAAGUUAAUGUUGGCACAGACUUUGAUGGUUUUAGUCCACAGGCAGUGGGCACUGUUUGCUUUGGCCUUGGAAAAGCAGCCAUCAUGGAGGGAGUGUGUAGUGAUGAAGCCUAUGACCUCAAGGCCAGGAUGCAGACAGGCUUUGAUUUAAUACUCACACUGAUCUACUAAAGGUCCCAAUUCUUAAAGUCGUCACAAUCUCCCAAUAGCACAAUUCUAGCAACCGAACCUUUGAGGACUGUCAAGAUUCAAACUAGAUCUCCUUGCAAGGGAAGGAUAGACCCUCUAGCAACAGAGAUGAAGUUUCAGCAAGAUGGACCAUAUGGAGACGAGGAGCUUUGCCUCAAGUAGGCUAUGGUUGACUGCUCAGCCAACUCCAGGAAUCUGUCUGAUUCUACCUCCCAUUUUGCAUUUCUAUGAUUACGAACGUGUGCCACGCAUUUGGAUUUUUAUGUAUUGUUUCAUUGGAAGGACCUUGUAGAGCAUGUCCCCAGGAGCUGCCUUCCUAGCGGACUGGAGACUGGGUGUCCUCCAGGAGGGGCCACCGAUCAAUUUGAUUUGAGGACUACCCUUCAUGAUCUCAUUUUGCUUUAUAUCGCUGAGAUGAUCCAUUGUCCAGGCCAUUUUAAUUGGAGAUUUUGACAUUGACAUUAUUCGGGUUGGGAAGAGCCUGAGGCAACAUAAAGUAAUUGUCUUUUAUCAGAAGAGUUCAGGAGGACACUGGGUGAUCUCCAUCAACUCUGAAAACACGGAGUCCUUCCUGAAAUACCUUCACAGUGAAAAGGACUACUUGUCAGAUGUCGAGGCCGGGAACCGGUUUGGAGAUUCUUGUGUGAUCGUUUGAGGGUGUAUGGACAUCCACAGAGUGUCACUGCUUAGCCAGUGUGGUCCAUCUUGUUAGACCAUGACUGUGCAUGCAUGGCCAGUCAGAAGCCUCUCAGGAGGUGACAUACAUGCUGGCAACACUGGGGAAUGGGCCACACAUGUCCUGGGUCACUCAUUCUCUUGACUUCCUUUACUAUGUUUUAUCUUUCAUCGUUCUAACAAAAUAUAUGAAUCUGGGUGCUGUACCUUCAGUGUAUCCAGUAGGCUUUGUCAGUAAGGUUUUGGUCUCCAACAGGGCAUCCCUAGGAGGUGGAGGAAAUCUUAGGGGUGGAGCCUAGUGGGAGCCAAGUGGGACCUAUCUAUUAGGUCAUUUUGGAUGUUGUCAAGG
rnacentral:lncRNA from 1 species